rfam:Salmo salar isolate Sally breed double haploid chromosome ssa01, whole genome shotgun sequence.
UGGCUCAGUUGGUAGAGCAUGGUGUUUGCAACGCCAGGGUUGUGGGGUCGAUUCCCAC